UGAGGAAUAUUGGUCAAUGGACGCAAGUCUGAACCAGCCAAGCAGCGUGCAGGAUGACGGCCCUAUGGGUUGUAAACUGCUUUUAUAUGGGGAUAAAGUGGGGAACGUGUUCCCUUUUGCAGGUACCAUAUGAAUAAGGACCGGCUAAUUCCGUGCCAGCAGCCGCGGUAAUACGGAAGGUUCGGGCGUUAUCCGGAUUUAUUGGGUUUAAAGGGAGCGUAGGCCGUUUGGUAAGCGUGUUGUGAAAUGUAGGAGCUCAACUUCUAGAUUGCAGCGCGAACUGUCAGACUUGAGUGCGCACAACGUAGGCGGAAUUCAUGGUGUAGCGGUGAAAUGCUUAGAUAUCAUGAAGAACUCCGAUUGCGAAGGCAGCUUACGGGAGCGCAACUGACGCUGAAGCUCGAAGGUGCGGGUAGCGAACAGG
rnacentral:rRNA from 1 species